rnacentral:pre_miRNA from 1 species
CAUGCACCAGUGGGGUUCCUUGGCCUGGCCUGCGCCCUCUCGCAAUUUGGGACCCCUUGGCAGAUGUCAGACUGCAGGCCAGGCCAAGGGACCCCACUGGUGCAUG